rnacentral:tRNA from 1 species
GUUUAGCUCAGUUAAUUGACCAUUUGCCUGCCACCCAAAAGGUUGCUGGUUCAACUCCAACCAGCGACA